AUCAGACACGGUGCCAGCAGCCGCGGUAAUACGGAGGGGGCUAGCGUUGUUCGGAAUUACUGGGCGUAAAGCGUACGUAGGCGGCUUUGUAAGUUAGAGGUGAAAGCCUGGAGCUCAACUCCAGAACUGCCUUUAAGACUGCAUCGCUUGAAUCCAGGAGAGGUGAGUGGAAUUCCGAGUGUAGAGGUGAAAUUCGUAGAUAUUCGGAAGAACACCAGUGGCGAAGGCGGCUCACUGGACUGGUAUUGACGCUGAGGUACGAAAGCGUGGGGAGCAAACAGGAUUAGAUACCCUGGUAGUCCACGCCGUAAACGAUGAUAACUAGCUGUCCGGGGACUUGGUCUUUGGGUGGCGCAGCUAACGCAUUAAGUUAUCCGCCUGGGGAGUACGGUCGCAAGAUUAAAAACUC
rnacentral:rRNA from 1 species